CUAUGUCUCUUUGCUAAUAUUUUUUUUAAAUAAUUAUUUUGUAUUUGAUUGAAUAAUUUUGUGUUUUGUUUUCUUAAAUCUAAAUUAUAAUAUUGUUGCAUGGACAAUUGAUUUUGAUUUUGAUUUUGGAAAAACAAAAAAGCAUUUAAUGAGGUUUGGUGAAGAGUUCUAAGACUUUGAUGUAUGUAUCAAAGCCUUUACUGUAAAUCCGAGGUACCAUAGUUAUUAUCUACAACCUCCCCGGCCCCCUUAAACCUUCUCCUUUUCACUUUCUCUCUUAUUACAAACACACACCAUAUCCUAUUCUAUUCUUUUUGCCUCUCAUCAUCAAUUAAUUUCUCUCUUUUCUUUUGGGUGCAGUAAUGAGAUUAGUUUUUGUUAUUUGUGUGUCAUGCUUGUUGAUUUUGGCAAGUUAUAAUCGGUCUGAUCAUCAUGCAGUGGCUAGAAAACUUGAUGCCAAUAAAGAAUCAUCUUCCAUGGAGGGUACCAUCAACAAUUUCUUCUCAAGCUUUGAGAAAAAGAAGAAGAACAACAACAACAACAACACUUUGGAGGAAAAGCGAGUGGUUCCCACAGGUCCAAAUCCUUUACACAACUAGUAGAGAAGAAGAGGUAGCUAUGAUUAAUUCCUAGAAAUGAAAUUAAUUAAUGCUGUAAAGUUAUUGCAUGCUUCACAUAUUAUUCUAUUUCAAUGGAUUUUUUUUUUUGGCAUAGUAAAGAGAAAAAUUAGGAAAUAAUAUACUUGUUUCAAAUCCUUUUUUUUUUUUUUUCUAAAUUUGCUUCUGUAGAUUUUAAUGCCCUUUACUUUUCUUAGAUUUUCCUUAGAUUUUCUCGAGAUCUUGGAGUUUUAUCAAGUUGAUUAACCGGCUUGUAGCUUAAAAUCAAUCCCCUUGUUGCUAUUCUUUUGCUAAUUGCAAGAACUAAAAUGUUAGUGGGAAUUAAGAAUGUAUUUUCAUUUCAGUUUAUGUAAUCAAGUAUACGCCAUUUUCAUCAAGAAAAUGAAAGAGUAAGAAGAAAUCAAGAAGUGGGUAAUAACAUAUGGGUCCUGAAUGUCCGUCAAAAUCACAAAUAAGGGUGUAUAUACACAUAUAUAGACAGAGUUUGCAGCUCUUUUCAUAUGAGUCUUUUGAUGUAAUGCUGCUAGCGUCGGUUGCUAAUUGCUUAAUAAAGUCAACGAAAUUCUUGUUCCACCUCUUGAAUCAGCUUAUAUCUACAGUUACGUUAGUUUUUAUAAGCAUAAUCUGAUGCGGAAGGGGACUCUUAUAAAAGAAAUGCAAAUUGUCUCAAGAUUAACUUCUAAUUUUACUAACAAUCAGGGAUAUGAGUGUUAUUAUCGAGACGAGAAAGAAUAGAUAAUAUAAACCACAAUUCCACUCUUUUACUCUCUCUUUUUUGUCCGUUGAGUUUGUUAUUUUUCCAGAAGAAAUUGGAAUGUAAUCCACGGCUGGCUGUUUUCAUUUUUGUGGGUGGAGUAUAAUGCUGCUUGGCGAAAGCAACACAUCAGUUUUCACAUUCUUUGCCAAUAUCAUGUUCUCGUGGAGGCGAGAGAGAAAUUAAUAAAUAUGAGAAGCUUAAGGAAAAAAAAUAUGUAAGCGAAGUAUGGGCCAACUUGUCUGCUUUGAUAUGUUUCCUGUAUUGCUCGGAUAUGUUUCCUGAUUCGGAAAACAGCAUUAAAAUUAUGUGUCAGAAGAAACUUAAAUGCUACUCGUUAAAGUGAGAAAAAAAAAUUCAAUGGCUGCUGCUCUGUGGCCAGUUACCUGACUUUAUUCAAUGAAAAGUUGCUUUUCAAUAAAGCUAGUUUUAACUUUUCAACUCUUUUCAUUUUUAUCUUUAUUUACAAAUUAUUUUGCUAGUUUCAACACAGGGGAAGAGUCAAGAUAUUGCUAUACGAGUGACGAUGUAAAAGAUCAAGCAUAUUGGGUUUCGUGUGCGAAAGUUGAGUGAGAAAGAGAG
rnacentral:lncRNA from 1 species